ACUGAAUAGAUACCCAGGUAGUCCUAGCCGUAAACGAUGUAGACUUGGCGUAGUCGGGUUUAAAUCCGACUGUGCCGCAGCUAAACGCGAUAAGUCUACCGCCUGGGGACUACGGCCGCGAGGUUAAAACUCAAAGGAAUUGACGGGGCCCGCACAAGCAGCGGAGCGUGUGGUUUAAUUCGAUGUUACACGAAGAACCUUACCAGGGUUUGACAUGCAGGUGGUAGGGAACCGAAAGGGGACCGACUCUUCGGAGAGCCUGCACAGGUGCUGCAUGGCUGUCGUCAGCUCGUGUCGUGAGAUGUUCGGUUAAGUCCGCUAACGAGCGCAACCCUCGCUGUGUGUUAUACGUGUCACACGGGACUGCCGGUCUUAAGCCGGAGGAAGGUGGGGAUGACGUCAAGUCAGCAUGGCCUUUAUAUCCUGGGCUACACACACGCUACAAUGGCCAACACAGUAGGUAGCGAAACCGCGA
rnacentral:rRNA from 1 species